CUUAUUAUGUGUAUGGCAUAGCACAAGACAUUUCAUCCUUCUAAGUUCCUGUAUACUCAUCUGUGAAACAAAAGCAGGUGAACAAAAAAAGAGAUCCAGAGGAGUUACUAUUUUUAGAGUGGGUUCAUCAGAAUCAACAUUCUGCAAUGUAAUGGACAGAGCAUUUGCUCUGGGGGAUAUAAAGUAAAGAUAAAAGCCUGGGAUCCAUUAGCUGCUAACUUGGGCUGCUCGUGGUUGUAUACAGCAGCUGGAUAUUUGGAGCUACUGAUGAGAUCACCCUAGCAUUGAUGUGCAGAAGGGACCACACUUCCAGAUAAAUGAUUUCUGUUGGUGCCACAGGUGACCCAAAUCCUUGGAGAAGGUUCUACACCAGACGCUGAGGACGAUAGGAUCAUGAAAAGUGAAUAUGGAAAGCACAGAGGAACUGCUAACCUGGCAUCGGUGGCCUCCAGGAACUGCCAAUUAUAAUGUAGUAUUCUACUGGUAUCAUGAAGUGGCAGGACCAUCUACAGAAAGCUAGAUGAUCAUUGCUGUUGCAGAGAACUUCCUGAGAAGAUUUAAGUCUGUUUAAUGAUGAAGAGAAUGUAUAAGGUAAAUCUUCUUACUACUCAAUUUGCAAAUGAGGAAAUCAUGGUAUUAAAUUACUUCUCUGAGGACUGAAUUUGAAAAAUUCAAGACCUAGGAUCCAAACCUGGAAACCUGAAUCUACAAGUUAUGAAGAACUUGGUUAUCAUGUAAAAUCAUGUCUAACUGUGGGUCUGAAUGGAAAGAGUUUGAAAAUCACUAUGAUAAAGAGAAGAUAAGCAGCCCCUACUCCAGCUGCCUGGGCAAGUGGACUUUCUUGUUAGAAUUUCAGUCACCUUGGCAAUCAAAGCCAGUGUCAAUGUUCAGACCACUCCUGAGUUGUAGCCAAAUGAUUUAAUCAAUUUAAGACUGAAAAAAGGAGGGAAAUAUAUGCAAAAGAAAAAAAUACCAGUCUUCAAGGGCAUGCUUUUAGGGAAAAUGGCAGGGAUAUGCAGAACUUAAAGAUUCAAUUAGUGUCAUUUGUAAAUCAUUGUUUUAGACAAUAAACAUUUACCAUACACCUAUGUUUUGUAGGGAGAAAAGAGAAAUCAAAGAAUCCC